rnacentral:misc_RNA from 1 species
UGGUUCUGGCAUCGAUGAAGAACGCAGCGAAAUGCGAUAAGUAAUGCGAAUUGCAGAAUUUCCGUGAGUCAUCGAAUCUUUGAACGCACAUUGCGCCCUUUGGCAUUCCGAAGGGCAUGCCUGUUCGAGCGUCAUUAUCCUCCCUCAAAACCCCCGUGUUUUGGUGUUGGACCACGGUGGACCCCUCAUGGUCCACCGGGUCUCGAAGACAAUGACGGCGUCCCAGGGACCCUCUUCGCACUGAGCUUUCCGGAGCACGCGUUGAGUUGCAAGGUCUCGGGGGCCCGGUCACCCGGCCACCUUUGGUGGCUCCAUUUUCUCAGGUUGACCUCGGAUCAGGUAGGAAUACCCGCUGA